CAUGACCUACGGGGCGCAGCAGUAGGGAAUAUUGCUCAAUGGGGGAAACCCUGAAGCAGCAACGCCGCGUGGAGGAUGAAGGUUUUCGGAUUGUAAACUCCUUUUGUUAGAGAAGAUAAUGACGGUAUCUAACGAAUAAGCACCGGCUAACUCCGUGCCAGCAGCCGCGGUAAUACGGAGGGUGCAAGCGUUACUCGGAAUCACUGGGCGUAAAGAGCGCGUAGGCGGGAUAGCAAGUCAGAUGUGAAAUCCUAUGGCUUAACUGGUAGUC
rnacentral:rRNA from 1 species